UACGUAGGCAGCAAGCGUUGUUCGGAAUUACUGGGCGUAAAGAGUGUGUAGGCGGUGUUCUAAGUCUGUUGUGAAAUCUCCCGGCUUAACUGGGAGGGUGCGGCGGAAACUGGAAUGCUAGAGGAUGGGAGAGGUGAGCGGAAUUCCUGGUGUAGCGGUGAAAUGCGUAGAUAUCAGGAGGAACACCUGUGGUGUAGACAGCUUACUGGACCAUUUCUGACGCUGAGACACGAAAGCGUGGGUAGCAAACAGG
rnacentral:rRNA from 1 species